UACGUAGGGUGCGAGCGUUGUCCGGAAUUAUUGGGCGUAAAGAGCUUGUAGGCGGUCUGUCGCGUCUGCUGUGAAAACCUGGGGCUUAACUCCGGGCCUGCAGCCGAUACGGGCAGACUAGAGUUCGGCAGGGGAGACUGGAAUUCCUGGUGUAGCGGUAAAAUGCGCAGAUAUCAGGAGGAACACCGGUGGUGAAGGCGGGUCUCUGGGCCGAAACUGACGCUGAGGAGCGAAAGCGUGGGGAGCAAACAGG
rnacentral:rRNA from 1 species